rnacentral:rRNA from 1 species
UUGAACGCUGGCGGCAUGCCUUACACAUGCAAGUCGAACGGUAGAGGAGCAAUCCUCGAGAGUGGCGAACGGGUGAGUAAUGUAUCGGAACGUGCCCAGUAGUGGGGGAUAGCCCGGCGAAAGCCGGAUUAAUACCGCAUGAUACCUGAGGGUGAAAGCGGGGGACUCGCAAGAGCCUCGCGCUACUGGAGCGGCCGAUAUCAGAUUAGGUAGUUGGUGGGGUAAAAGCCUACCAAGCCUGCGAUCUGUAGCUGGUCUGAGAGGACGACCAGCCACACUGGGACUGAGACACGGCCCAGACUCCUACGGGAGGCAGCAGUGGGGAAUUUUGGACAAUGGGCGAAAGCCUGAUCCAGCCAUGCCGCGUGCAGGAUGAAGGCCUUCGGGUUGUAAACUGCUUUUGUACGGAACGAAAAAGUCUUCUCUAAUACAGGGGGCGAAUGACGGUACCGUAAGAAUAAGCACCGGCUAACUACGU